rnacentral:rRNA from 1 species
CAGCAGCCACGGGAAUACAGAGGGUGCGAGCGUUAAUCGGAUUUACUGGGCGUAAAGCGUGCGUAGGCGGCUUUUUAAGUCGGAUGUGAAAUCCCUGAGCUUAACUUAGGAAUUGCAUUCGAUACUGGGAAGCUAGAGUAUGGGAGAGGAUGGUAGAAUUCCAGGUGUAGCGGUGAAAUGCGUAGAGAUCUGGAGGAAUACCGAUGGCGAAGGCAGCCAUCUGGCCUAAUACUGACGCUGAGGUACGAAAGCAUGGUGAGCAAACAGGAUUAGAUACCCCCGUAGUCCCUGUCUCUUAUAC